UAAAGGGCAGAUGGGAGCUGCCUUGAUUCAAAUGGAACAAAACCUGCUUGUCCACCCAGGACUGCCGCAGAUACGCUGGGGUCUGCGCUCUGUGUGCACAAUAGUUGCAUAUUCAGGGAUCGUCCUCCCUCCUGUCUACUGGAUGGAGACAUUCGAGGAUUGGCGGACCCAGCCUUUUGUCUCUGCUGCAAAGCCUUUGCGAGGAAGGGCUCGGGGGGCUUCAGAUGCGCGUGCCACCGUUGUGGCGAUCUGUUCCUUUGUCAUACGCAGGAAGUGUCAUCUUUCAAGCCACUGAAAGCAGCUGCCUCGGUGUGGAAAACCGUUGCUUUGACCUCUGAACAGGGUGUGUUGAAGAGCCAGCUUUUGUUCCAUUCAGCUCUUGGAGAUCGGUGAUCCUGUCUGCUUUCUGCCUUCUGCAACUCAGCACCUGAGUUUUCUCGCUACCAGCAAGGGUAUUCCCGGUGUCCCUCCACCCUCCCUUGAUCCGCGGGGCUCCAGAGAAACGUGUUUACUGGGUAGUCUCUGCUUGGAGGUUGUGCCAGUAGCUUCUCGUGAGCGCUCCUAUAAAGCCCAAGCAACGCCCUCCUGGAGGCUGCUGCCAACACCAGUGUCCUGCUGGCACUGCCUCCUCUCACCACCUUUCCAAACCAACAAGCUCCCGACAUGUGUGCGCAGUGCAGCACAGGUCACGCGAGCCGUGUCCCUCCCUCCCUCCCUCCCUUUGAUUCCCUCCUUUUCAGGCUGGGGUUGGAUUGCAAAGGCUCGCUGCGGGGCUUCGGUUACUCGGUGUCUGCUGCUCCCUUGCACGUUGCUCCUCUCCAGUGCACGUCCUAGCCUGGCGUCACCCGCCUUUGAGGGUCCGGUUGCUCUGCGGACGUGUUGUCUUCAAACGCCUCUGUCGGCUGAAGGUGUCGAGGGCAGAGCUCUGUCCGCAGCAGGCGUUUUCACCCAUUUCGCUGCAUCCAUUUUGUGCUGCACGGCUCAAAUUCCUGCUCACAAAACUGCCUGCAACGUCCCCCUCGGACGACUAGAAAACCUGAGCACAGCUUGUAGCACCGAGCAUCUCUGAUCUGCGAAGACUCGACGAAAAGCAAGCCUAUUGAAUUUUCCUUUUUGUCCGCGGCUUAAAUAAAUAUGUCACAAAGCU
rnacentral:lncRNA from 1 species